rnacentral:rRNA from 1 species
UAAGGAAUAUUGGUCAAUGGACGCAAGUCUGAACCAGCCAUGCCGCGUGGAGGAUGAAGGUCCUCUGGAUUGUAAACUUCUUUUAUCUGGGACGAAACACUUCUUUUCUAAGAGGCCUGACGGUACCAGAUGAAUAAGCACCGGCUAACUCCGUGCCAGCAGCCGCGGUAAUACGGAGGGUGCAAGCGUUAUCCGGAUUCACUGGGUUUAAAGGGUGCGUAGGUGGGUAUGUAAGUCAGUGGUGAAAUCCCCGAGCUUAACUUGGGAACUGCCAGUGAUACUAUAUAUCUUGAAUACCGUAGAGGUAAGCGGAAUAUGUCAUGUAGCGGUGAAAUGCUUAGAUAUGACAUGGAACACCAAUUGCGAAGGCAGCUUACUAUGCGGUGAUUGACACUGAGGCACGAAAGCGUGGGUAGCAAACA